rnacentral:sRNA from 1 species
UAUGUUAAAAAAAAACUGAACUUUGAUCAGAUUGAUAGAAGAAACGAAAAACUAAAUAAUAAGCUAGCAACAUGUAUACUAUUUCCCUUUUUUUAGAGUUUCUAAGCCAAUCAGAAGGCUCUAUUUCGUACCCACUCGCAUAAAGAGCGCGUUGCGCGAGUGAGAGCAAUUCUGUGGGUAAAACCCCUUUCCAAUUCAAGCCUUUUUCUAUCGACGGAUUUCUAUCCAAAUUCUCCAUCGCGUGACUUUUUUGUU